GGAUGCGAUCAUACCAGCAAUAAUGCACCGGAUCCCAUCAGAACUCCGAAGUUAAGCUUGCUUGGGCGAGAGUAGUACUAGGAUGGGUGACCUCCUGGGAAGGCCUCGUGUUGCAUC
rnacentral:rRNA from 1 species